UACGAAGGGGGCUAGCGUUGUUCGGAAUUACUGGGCGUAAAGCGCACGUAGGCGGACUGUCAAGUCAGGGGUGAAAUCCCGGGGCUCAACCUCGGAACUGCCUUUGAUACUGUUAGUCUAGAGUCCGGAAGAGGUGGGUGGAAUUCCUAGUGUAGAGGUGAAAUUCGUAGAUAUUAGGAAGAACACCGGUGGCGAAGGCGGCCCACUGGACCGGAACUGACGCUGAGGUGCGAAAGCGUGGGGAGCAAACAGG
rnacentral:rRNA from 1 species